AAAACUGCAAUCAUAGAGUGUACAUUAUUUUCUUACUUUUUUCACCUAAUUUAGUUACAUGCACCAUAAUGCACUUUAUUUUAUUGCUGAAUAGUAUUCUGUUGUACACUUAAAUCAUAAUUUAUUUUACCAACUUGAUUUUAAUAAAUAUUUGAUGUAUUUUAGAGUUUUGUCUAUUAAGAGUAAAACUAAUGUAAAUAAUUGUGUUUCUGGUGUUUUCACUCAGUAUAAUUUGUAUUUCCAUUUUUCUUUUGCUGGGCAUGUAAUUUGUUUCCCAUUUUUGAUUACAGGAAUAACUCUACAAGAAUCAUUCCUGUAUAAGUUGUUUUGUUGACUCGUUUUUAAUUCUGGGCUAAGUACCUUGAAAUGGAAUUACUGGAAUACAGAAUAGAUUUAUCUAUAAUAUGAUAUAUUUUUUAAAACCUGCCAAACUAUUUUCGGAAGUGUUUCUACUAUUUUAUAUUCCUAACAAAAUAAUAAAAAGUUUUAGUUGUUCUUCAGCAUUUCCAACUUAUUUUGUCUGUAUUUUUUAUUUUAGCAACUUAGUAGGGAAGUUUGUGGUUCAUCUCAUUGUAAGUUCAUUUCCUUCAUGACUAAUUAUGCUGUGUGCAUUUAAUUUGCUUAUUGACCAUUUUUUAAUCUUCCUUUUUCAAGUGUCCAUGACCACAUUUUAGUCGUAUUUUUAAUUAUUGAUUUCUUAGAGUUGAUUGUAAAUUUUAUAUCAUAGUCCUUGCUUGGAUGCAUAUAUUGUGAGUAUUUGCUCUGACUUCAUGGCUGAUUCUUUAUUUUGCUAAUGGUGUCUUUGGAUGUCAGGAAUUUUAAUAUUAAUUAAGUCAAUUUAGCAAAUUUUCUUGAUAGUUAACGAUUUAGGUGAUCUCAUUAAAAAUCCUUCUUUACCAUGAAGAUAUUAUUUGAUGAGUUUAUGAAUUUUCAUAUUUCAGCAUUUAGGGUGAGGUACAUGAUUCAUUUUUAAAUGUGUUAAGAGUCCAGCAUUUGAUAGGAUUCAAGGUUUAUUUAUUUUCUCUACCAUCUAACCAAAACUGAACUUCCUUGGAACCUUUGUAGAAAAUAAACAUAGAAUACCUCUGGUUUCUCUCUUCUGUUUCAUUGAUCUAUUCGAUUUUCUUACACAAAUGCCACACUCUUCUGGUUAUUUUAACAUUGUAGUAAUUAUUGGAAUAAAGUUUAUUCAUCAUUUUUAAGAUUAUUCAGCUAUUCUAGAGCCUUUAGGUUUUCAUGAAAAUAAUUUAAUAAAGUUGUUCAUGUUUUCCAAAAAGAAUGUUACAUUCUUACUGGGAAUGCAUUAAAUCUAUAUAUAGAUCAAUGUGUGGACAAUUGAAUCUAUAAAUAUAAAAUAUUCCAAUUCAUUAGCUCAUUCUGUCUCUGUAUUUAUUUAUGGCUUCUUAAGUAUCUCCUUUCAGUAACUUAAAGUGUCUUGGUAAUGUUUUGCAUGUGUUUUGCUUAAUAUAUUCUUAAGCAUUUUAUAGUUUUCGAUGAUUUUAAAAGUAAUGUUUGUCUGAAAUUAAUUUUUAAGUUUUGCUUCUAGUGUCUGAAAUGUAAUUUUAAAAGACAUUGACCUUGUAUCCUACAAAUUUGCUAAUGUCACUUAUGGAUACUGGUAGUUUUUGCAGAUUCCAUAGGGAUUCCUGUGUAAAUAAUCACCUGAUCUGCCAGAAGGUCAGUUAUGCAUAUUUCUUUCUGAUGGUUUCAACUGAUUUGUUCUUGCCUGAUGGAAAUAGCUAAGACCCCCAGAGUAAUAAUCUAUGGAACCAGUGAUAGUGGACAUCCUUGCCUCAUUUCUUACUUUAGUACUAAAAAGCUCAAUAUUUGCACAAUAAGUACGAUGAUAAUUGUAGGUGUCAUAUAGAUAACUUUAUUCAGAUUAAGAAAUAUGUUUUUAGUUUGCUCAGUUUUGUCAAUAAUAUUGUUGAAUUUUGUUAAAUAACUUUUCUGUACCUACUGUGGUAAUAUAAAAUGUGUUAAUGUGGACAUAUACUUGGUUAUUUUUACAGUAAACUGACUUUGCAUUAAUUGGUUAGAAUAUAGUUGGUCAUGAUAUUUUAUCAACUUGUUAUUUUACUAUAUAUGAUUUGCUAAUAUUUAAGGUGUUUUCUAUUUUUAUGAGACACCAAAUUUCCUUCCUUCCUUUCUUUUCUUUUCUUUUCUUUUCUUUUCUUUCUUUCUUUCUUUCUUUCUAUCUUUCUUUCUUUCUUUCUUUCUUUCUAAUAUAACUCUCAGAAUUAGUACUAGGGCUGUAUUAGCCCCACAAAAAAAUCAAAGGAUAUUCUAUUUUUGCUAUUUUCUAAACAGUUUGAAUGAGAUUACUCCUAAUUUUUUCCUAAAUGUAUGAUAAAAUCCACGAAUGAAGCCAAUCUGGGCUGAAGUUGUGGGUUAUUUUGUCAUCACAGAUUUAAAUUACUAUUAAACAGAGGAUCAUAGGUUUCUGCAUUCCUCUUGGAUCAAUUUUAUUAGAUUCAAUCUUUCAAAAAAUUAUCCCUUUAUUGAAUUUGUCAAAUUUGUGUCACAUAUUUUAUUAUUAUAUUCCUUUUUUACUUUGCAAUGACUCUAGCAUCUAUAUCUCCCUUUUAGUUCUUAAUAUUGGAAAUUUCCAUUCUGACUCCAUGUACUGAGCCUUAGAAUUAUCAGUUCUAUUAAACUUUUCAAAGAAUAAAUUUCUGUCUUGGUUAAUUUUCUUUAUUUUAAUUAUAUUUUAUUUAUAUCCACUCAUAUAUAUUUCUUGCUUAAUUCUACUUACUUGGGUUAAAUUUUUAUGUCUUUCCUAAUUUUUUAAAGUGAAGACUUAAGACACUGAUUUUUAAACCUUUCUUCUUUUCUAAUUUCUUCUAAUUUGUCCAAUAUUUUAGUGCCUAUUGGAGGAAGACAAAGUCAAGUAAGAGUUCAUUUGUCAUUGUCAGCUGUGCAAUAAUUUUUAUCUCCCUUUUAAAAAUGUUUAAAUCUAGUAUACAAUACUUUUGCAGCUAUAACAUAUUAUUUAUCAAAUGGCAAAAAUUCUACUAAAUAUUGGAAUAACUAGUUUCAUUGUAAAAUAUUUCAAUAAUCCAAAUAUUUGAUUUCAAUAUAUUUACUUAUAAAACUGUGAUAUUAUUCUAUUAACUUAGAAUUUUCACUUGUAGAUUGAGCCAAAUAUUAAUUCAAUAAGAAAAAGAUUCAUUUUAAUGUUCUUUUUUUAUGAGACAUUUAGUGAUAUAUUUGCUGGUUAAGUACUCUAAGCUGAGGGAUGUUCCAAAUUAAAAGUGCAAAUCAGAAGUCAUAAUGUUUAUAAUUCUUUAUGCUGGUAAAAAUUUUGUUGCUAGGUGGAUAAAUCUGCCCACCAGCUAAAGCUGUAUUAGUAAUAAAACCAUGUCAUAAUUAUAGAGUAUCAAAUAAGAAUAACAUUUCCCAGCUAGAAUCUUGAAAUAUUUAAAUGACUGUUUAAAGUAAUCUAGAUUUCUCUAAGGAAAGGACAUUUUAAGUGGAACACAAAAUAUGACUAAUCUGGACAUACUCAACACUAAUUAAGAACAUUUAUCACUGGUAACCUGAUUCCUUUUCUUAUAAUUGCCAUUGCAUAAAAAUGUCUGAUCAACAUAAAUGUUUGAUUAGUAAAACAUUUUAUUACUUAUAAUAAUGCAUAUCAUAAUUGGCUCUGUAUGCAGAAGAUGGUAUUUUUAGUGAGUACUGUAGUUAUACAGUGAAAUGUUAAUUAAAACGGAAGUAGUAAACUGUUUGUUCCAAGUCCAAUUACUUAAUUAUGGAAUUAAACCAAUAUAAAGCUAAAUAAUUUGCCACUUCUACUCUCACUGGUAUUAUAAAAUGAUAUCCGAAUGAUUUCCAAAUUGAUUAGCAUGACUCUAACUGUCAUGAACUGCAGGUUGCCAGGAUAUUGAAUUCUCGAAACAGCUCAUAACUGUUUUUUUUUUAAUUCCCCUGAUGGCUGUCAGUGUAGCAGUGCAACUUAGCAAUAUAAGAAAGCAUAUAUUUUGGAAACAUUAGAAUGAAAAAAUGUUAUUGUCUUUCGUUCUUUAAAAAUUGCUAUUGUAAUGGUACAAAUUUUGGAGAUGUAUUUACUUUGGUUUGUUUUAGAAUUGACCUUAUCGGUUCAUAAAGAUUACACUAUAGAGCGUACUUUUAAACAAUGCUUUGAAAGGCAAAUGCUUUGAAAAUUGGUUAAGAAAAAUUCCAGUUCAGAAUUUACCACUUUCAAACACUACAUUGAAAAGUGCUUAUAAAAGUUGAUAUUUAAAACAAACAUAUCUUUUUCUACCCAAAGUAAUGUGAUUUUUUUCUGAUGAAUUACUACUAGGUUGGAAAAAAAUUAAAUGAUAUGCAUUUCAAUAGUAAAAUAAUUAUAUGGUUGACUAUGUUCAGAAAUUAGAUCCAUUCAAUUACAUAAAUUUUUAUGCUUCCCUAAUGCAUAAUUCAUAACUUUUAAGCUUGUAAUUCAUAAUUUUUCAGCUUGUCUAAUGCAAUGAAACAAAAAUAAAAUUUAAAUAGUUAAUCUAAAAAUGCUUGUCUUAUAUCUCUGUUUACCUCUCAAUGUAAUAUUAGACUAUCUUUCAAUAGAGACUAUUUUACACAAAUUUUCAUUAGAAUAGAUAAAAUAGACUGUUAAAGACUUUAGAAUUGGGGUGGAAUAAAUAAUUUUUUCUCUUGAUGUUGUCAUAAUGUCAAGCUUUGGAAUAAUAGAAUGGUUCCGUUGCUGCUGUCUAUUACUUUGCAUGCACUGAGGAUAGAAUAGCCCUCCUCAAUGUGGGGUGGUUAUGAUACCCUUUCCCAAAGAACUGUAAACUCUUAGAAGAGCAGGAGUUGUUGCAGUAUCCAACCUUCAAGAUGGCCUCCAAUGAUACCCAUUUCCACAUAUUUAUAACUGUGUACUUUUCUUCUGUUACCAAGGUUGAUACGUGUUACACAUAGAAUAUGGUAAAAGUGAUGGUAUGCCACUUUUGAGAUUACAUUAUAGAAGAGUGAAUUCCAUCUUGAGCCCUCUUGCUCACCUGCUCUUUCUCUCAUAUCACUCGCUUUGGGAGAAACCCUAUCAUGAACAAUCCUAAGGAGAGACCAACAUGGCAAAGAAGAAAAGCCUCCUGCCAACAAUCGUACGAGUGAACUUGGAAGUUGAUUAUGCCACCACAGUUGAACAUUGAGAUGAGUGCAGCCUCAGGCAAUGGACGUGACUGCAACCUUGGGACAGACCUUGAACCAAACCACCCAGAUACUAUGUUUAUUCGGAAUUGGUGGUUUCUGACAACCCUACAUGAGGAAUUCUGUUGACACCAUGUUUCCAACAGGAUGUGAUCACUUUGUAUCUUUGUCACAUUUUGAGACAGUGUUUUGUCAUAUUUUCCAGACUGGUCUUGGACCCCUGAGCUCAAGCCAUCUGCCCACCUUGGCUCCCCAAAAUACUGGUAUUCCAGGUGUGAGCCACUGGCCCAGCCCAGGUUUGUUAUGUGUUGCUUGCUUAAAUUAGAAGUUUCCAAAAACCUAUAAUGUUUAGUAAGAACUUAUUGUGCCUUAAAUAUUGCAAAGAUACCAAGGACGUAUGAAGAAUUGGUUUGGUGAUUAUAAUUUUAUUGUACUCUCUUCAAUAAAAUGUCAAUUUUAAGAACCUCU
rnacentral:lncRNA from 1 species